rnacentral:rRNA from 1 species
GCUAUACAUGCAGUCGAGCGGAUCGAUGGGAGCUUGCUCCCUGAGAUCAGCGGCGGACGGGUGAGUAACACGUGGGUAACCUGCCUGUAAGACUGGGAUAACUCCGGGAAACCGGGGCUAAUACCGGAUAACACCUACCCCCGCAUGGGGGAAGGUUGAAAGGUGGCUUCUGCUAUCACUUACAGAUGGACCCGCGGCGCAUUAGCUAGUUGGUGAGGUAAUGGCUCACCAAGGCGACGAUGCGUAGCCGACCUGAGACGGUGAUCGGCCACACUGGGACCGAGACACGGCCCAUACUCCUACGGGAGGCAGCAGCACGGAAUCUUCCGCAAUGGACCACCGCCUCCCGGACCACCCCCCCAAGCGCCCCCCCCGCCCCCUCAUCCAAAAGGUCCGUUGUUUCGGCUCCUCGUCCUACCCCCCAAUGUCCCGCCGUCUUGACGGCUGCUUCCCUACCCAUACCCGCACUGCGCGCGGCGUCCGACGUCUUGUUACUCUCGAUCUCACCGCCCGGCUAUCACCUCGCCCGUUAACUCCACUACCCAUGACAACCGCUCUCCUUGCCGCUCGGACCUCAACACCAGGUCGUACACUCCUACCCGCUGA